UACGGAGGAUCCGAGCGUUAUCCGGAUUUAUUGGGUUUAAAGGGUGCGCAGGCGGGAGAUUAAGUCGGCGGUGAAAUUUUGCAGCUCAACUGUAAAAGUGCCUUCGAUACUGGUUUCCUUGAGUGUGGAUGAAGUAGGCGGAAUUUGUGGUGUAGCGGUGAAAUGCUUAGAUAUCACGAGGAACUCCGAUUGCGCAGGCAGCUUACUAAACCACUACUGACGCUCAGGCACGAAGGCGUGGGGAUCAAACAGGAUUAGAUAUCCCU
rnacentral:rRNA from 1 species